AGAAGUUGGUUUUGUUAGUUGAAUGAGAAUUGAAGUUGGCUACCAGUUCUGUUUUGACAGUUAGGAAUUAGUUAUAGAAGUUUAGGUUGGUUAGAAGUUUGAGAAACUGUUAGUUACUUUGAGAAAUUUGUGAUGGUUUUGUUUUAAAAAUGGUAAACUGGCUUUGCAUUGCUAUUGAUAUUGCACUGAACUGUUAGUACGAAAAAAAAUGUUGUGGUUAAUUUGAAUAUGGAUGUUUUGAAUUGACAGCAUGUGGCGUGUGUGAUUUGAAAUGAAUGUGUAUGAAAUUGUUGCAGGGCUGUUAUGUGAAGGGAGUUAGGAUGGUCGAAUUCAGAAGGAAAACUUGAUGAAUUACACCUGCCGCGAUUCUGAACCGAGUUGACUUGUGUUAUGGAUUUAUCUCAACUGAUUCCGUUUUGUCCCGGGUCUUGCAGCAGCUUUUCUCUGAUCCUGACUCCACAUUAAUGAGUAAACCCGAUAUGUGUUCUCGAGAGCCGGGAGAGCAUUAUGCAGGUUGGCAUCAAGUUUGGAGCAAGGUCUAUCAAAGUGAAAUGCACCAUUGCUCGAACAAUACGAAACGCCUAUCAACAUGGCACAAAUGAUACAGCUUUGAAGAAAUGGAGAAAGAGAAGGAUAGGUUUUAGAAAGUGUUGUAUUUUUCGGUGUAAUUUUUCUUUGUAAUUGGAUUUUUGUAAUCUUAUUUGAAUGAAUGUAAUAUGAAUUGUGUGACAGGAAUAUGGAUUUUUGAACGAAUGUUUGGAAA